CCUGUACAUCCAGGUCACUCUAUAGGUGCUGUAUAUGGCCCCCUGUAUAUCUAGGUCACUCUAUAGGGACUGUAUGUGGCCCCCUGUACGUCCAGGUCACUCUAUAGGUGCUGUAUAUGGCUCCCUGUAUAUCCAGGUCACUCUAUAGGGACUGUAUGUGGCCCCCUGUACAUCCAGGUCACUCUAUAGGGGCUGUAUGUGGCCCCCUGUACGUCCAGGUCACUCUAUAGGGACUGUAUGUGGCUCCCUGUAUAUCCAGGUCACUCUAUAGGUGCUGUAUAUGGCUCCCUGUAUAUCCAGGUCACUCUAUAGGGACUGUAUGUGGCCCCCUGUACAUCCAGGUCACUCUAUAGGGGCUGUAUGUGGGCCCCCUGUACGUCCAGGUCACUCUAUAGGGGCUGUAUGUGGCCCCCUGUACGUCCAGGUCACUCUAUAGGGGCUGUAUGUGGCCCCCUGUACGUCCAGGUCACUCUAUAGGGGCUGUAUGUGGCCCCCUGUACGUCCAGGUCACUCUAUAGGGGCUGUAUGUGGCCCCUGUACGUCCAGGUCACUCUAUAGGGGCUGUAUGUGGCCCCCUGUACAUCCAGGUCACUCUAUAGGUGCUGUAUGUGGCCCCCUGUACGUCCAGGUCACUCUAUAGGGGCUGUAUGUGGCCCCCUGUACGUCCAGGUCACUCUAUAGGUGCUGUAUGUGGCCCCCCGUACGUCCAGGUCACUCUAUAGGGGCUGUAUGUGGCCCCUGUACGUCCAGGUCACUCUAUAGGGGCUGUAUGUGGCCCCUGUACGUCCAGGUCACUCUAUAGGGGCUGUAUGUGGCCCCCUGUACGUCCAGGUCACUCUAUAGGGGCUGUAUGUGGCCCCCUGUACGUCCAGGUCACUCUAUAGGUGCUGUAUGUGGCCCCCUGUACGUCCAGGUCACUCUAUAGGUGCUGUAUGUGGCCCCUGUACGUCCAGGUCACUCUAUAGGUGCUGUAUGUGGCCCCUGUACGUCCAGGUCACUCUAUAGGGGCUGUAUGUGGCCCCCUGUACGUCCAGGUCACUCUAUAGGGGCUGUAUGUGGCCCCCUGUACGUCCAGGUCACUCUAUAGGUGCUGUAUGUGGCCCCCUGUACGUCCAGGUCACUCUAUAGGUGCUGUAUGUGGCCCCUGUACGUCCAGGUCACUCUAUAGGGCUCCAGCAGGUGGUCGCAGGGCUCUACAUGUCCCAGCAGCUACAGGCUAUCUAGAAGGGCAGCUCACGGGCUCGCUGUGUCGAGGCGGGGCCCCUGAGUUGGGCUCUCGGGAGACAGACGUGUCGCUCGCUUGCGGUGUCCGGUCGCUGCGGGGUUUCUGGGGCCCCGGCCCGGGGAGAUGUGCGGGCUCCGGCCUCGGUUUGUCACUGCUCCCCUACCCCCGCCCUCAGGCCGGAGCAUAGCAACGGGACAUGGCGCAGUAAUCGCACAUUCUCGCGAGAAGUGGCCGCAGCGAUGACGUCACCGCCGUAAUCCGUUCUCUGCCGGUCGCUUGCUCCACCAAUACGGAAAAUGAGAUGCGUUACCUCGUCC